GUGAAUCAUCAAAUCUUUGAACGCAAAUUGCACGCUCCUCGGAGAGUAUGUCUGUUUGAGGGUCAGCCUAUAAAAAUCGGCAUCGUUGCUGUUUCGCGGUGGCGUUCGUCGUAAUUUGGGGCAUCUUAAACCCUUUUGGGUUAAGGGACUUAAAAUGUUGCUUUUGAUUCCAUGAACGUUUCUAAGAUUUAUUUCUGUACACGUUGAAGGAAUCAGUUUUCAUUAGAUUUGUCUGUCAUAUC
rnacentral:misc_RNA from 1 species